GGCGCAGCGAGAGCGAAGGUGCGUGUUGGCGCGCCGAGGCAAGAACGGGGCCCGACCCUCGCAUUGCCGACCGGUCUCCUCCGCGCUGUGGCGGGAUCCGAGUGAGAGCGGGUGGGCUGCGACCCGAAAGAUGGUGAACUAUGCCCGAGCAGGGCGAAGCCAGGGGAAACCCUGGUGGAGGCCCGCAGCGGUUCUGACGUGCAAAUCGAUCGUCUGAUUUGGGUAUAGGGGCGAAAGACUAAUCGAACCGUCUAGUAGCUGG
rnacentral:rRNA from 1 species